AUUAAUUGAAGCUAAAAUUAGCUGGUUACUGUUAAUAAUCAACUUGAAUAUUAAAACUAUUCCAAUUAAU
rnacentral:tRNA from 1 species